rnacentral:rRNA from 1 species
AUGGCCUACCGCGGAGGCGGAGGCGGAGGCCGUGGCGGCGGCGACCAGGACCAGCGGUACGGCCGAGAGCGGGGUGAUCCGGCGGGAGGGCGCGGGGAUGGACGCGCGCGGACGGGUUGGCCGCCUCCGGGCCCGCCGUCGUCGGCCUCGCGUCCAGCCACGCCCGCGAUUACCAUCUACAACAACCCCAACGCCACGGGACCUCACCAGGCCGUCGUCUUCCGCAACCCCGCGCCUCCCCCCUACGCUCUCUCGCCGUCCGCCGGCCGCGCGUCAUCUUCGACCCUGGUCACCAUGGGCGCGCCUUGCCCUACGCCGGACACCAUCCGCGCGCCUCCUCCGACGCCCACGCCGGCCGCGGCCCCGUUCCAGCCGGCCCGCGUCUCGGCCCCGGCCCCCGCACCCGCUCUGCCGCUCCACUACGCUCCCUCGCCGUCGACCGUCCGCGCGUCUUCUUCGACGCCGGUUACCAUCUGCGCGUCUCCUCCGACGCCCUCGCCGGCUGCGGCCCAGCCGUUCCAGCCGCCCCCCGCCCCCGCUCCGCCCAGCCCCACGCCGUCGACCGCGGCCGUCGCCAAGGACCUCGAGCUGAAUCUCUUCGUCACCGAGACCGCGCUGGCGCCGGCCGUGGCGACGCAGGUGGGCCAGCCUGUGGCCGAGAAGGCGCCCGAGGUCGACGCGCCGGUGUUCAAGAUUGGGCUCGCACACCCCGCCCGCCCCAGCGCCGGCACCGUCGGCAAGGAGUUCCUCGUCAGCGUCGCCGACAACAACCUGUUCCACUAUGAUGUUUCCAUUAACCAAGAGUCAAACUCAAGAGCUGUGAACAGGGAGGUACUCAGUGAGCUAAUCAAGUUGCACGGAACGCUUGGGGGCAAAUUGCCCGCCUAUGAUGGAAGAAAGAGUCUUUACGCUGCAGGCUCACUUCCUUUUGAGUCAGAGGAGCUUGCUGUUACACUGGUUGAUCUGCAAAAGAAAGACAAAGAAAGGGCUGAAAGGGAGUACAAGAUCACCAUUAAAGUUGCUGGGAGGACAGACCUGUACCACUUUCAGCAGUUUAUGAAAGGAAGACAGAGGGAUAUGCCUCAAGAAACCAUUCAAGUGCUUGAUGUUGCCCUCAGGGAGUCACCAUCCUGGAACUAUGUCACAGUGUCCAGAUCCUUCUUCUCCACCACGUUUGAUCAGAGAGGAGACAUUGGUGAAGGAUUAGAGUGCUGGAGAGGUUACUACCAGAGCUUACGUCAAACACAGAUGGGGUUUUCACUCAAUAUUGAUAUAUCUGCAACAUCCUUCUUCAAGCCUGUGAAGGUGGUCCAGUUUGUGCUAGAGUUCCUCAACUUAAGUGAUGCCUCGCGACCUCCGACAGACAGGAACCUUGUCAAGUUGAGAUGUCAUGAUUAUGGAAAGGAGAAAACUUGUGCGCUAAGUAUUGGACAGUGGAACAUGAUUAACAAGAAAAUGGUUAAUGGAGGAACCACAGACAACUGCAGAGAAUUGCCCGCCUAUGAUGGAAGAGAGAGUCUUUGCACUGCAGAUUCACUUCCUUCUGAAUCAGAGGAAUUUUCUGGUACACUGAUUGAUCCGGAAAUGAAAGAUAAUGAAAGGGCUGAAUGGGAGUUCAAGAUGAUCACACAGAAAAUCAUUAAUGGGGGGACCAUAGAUAAUCUGGAGAAUGGUGCACCAUUUGUGUCUGAAGUUCCAACAGUCAUAGUUACUGCUCCUGUUAGUUUUCCGGUGGUGGCAUCAAUGGAUAAGCCAGAAACCUCCAAGUAUGGAGGUCUUGCCUCUGCCCAACCAUACAUGCAGGAGGUACUGGAAGACCUCUUUAAUUCGAGCAAAGAUUCACAGAAGGUUACCGCUAAUGGCGGCAAAAUGAAUGAAUUGCUGAUUACCUUCCGCAGGAAGACUGGCAGGAGGCCUCAGAGGGUUGUCUUCAGAGAUGGGGUAAGUGAAGAUCAGUUCUGUGAAGUCCUUUUUCAUAAAACGGACAGAAUCCGGAAGGCACAUGCCUCUUUCGAGAACGAGCAUAUACUACCAGUAAAUUUUGUGGUAGACCAGAAAAAACAUAAUACUAAGCUUUUCCCGAAGGUUCAUGUGAGGCAUGGCAGUUUAAACAAUGUAUCAUCCACCAAUGGAGGUGUAAUACCCCAAGAGGAGCCUUUAGAGGCACAUCAUCCACCAAACUUAGACUCAAUUAUCCAGUUUUUCGUUGACAUAAAUGGCCGCAGGGUGUCCGUUCAACGAACACCUGAAGCAGACCUGGGCUCAGCAAUUGCAGAAGCAAUGCUGAAAACUAACUGCUACAUUCCAGACUUUUAUGUCGGAUACGAGCAGCAUGUGCUUGAUUUAGAUCGGUCCAUCCUAUCGCAAAAAAUAGGUCAAAACUCAACGGUUAAGGUCCAGCCUCGUGUGAGGGGUGGUGUGGAAACGAUAGACAUGUCAUUCAAGGGUAUUAGAUUUGAGGACCGGAUUAAAAGCUUCAGUCAUGAUGACCUCUUUGAGGAACGCACUGUCAUUCCCGAAUUAAUGGGUAAAAUAAGGAGAAUAAGGAGAGGGAGGACCCGUGCAGGGACAGAGCAUAUCAUGAGGACCUUGGGUAGAUGCACCAUGCAUAAAUUAUUUGAAAUGCUCCAUCUCUUACAUCUUCGAGGGAUUUCCCUCAAUGGGAAUUUUACACAUGAGAAUGUCAUCUACUUACCUCUGUUGGAUAGCUAUGUAAUCAAUGAAAACCAUGUGAAGUCUAACCAUGCAGACUAUACUCCUCUCGGUUAUGAACAUGAUAUGAGAGCCCUAGGCCGGGUCUUGAAGCAGCUAUUCACCUGGAAGUUUCCACGCUCCAUAGCUGGUGUAUUUCCUGUGCACGUGGACCACCUUCUCCAGACUUUGAAUGCUAUGCCAGUUGGUGCAAGUACCUCGGAUGCCUUCAAGGCCUAUUUGAGGAAUCAUGUGUCAAUGUUGUCCCCUGGUGCGGUUGAGGGUCUGAUCUUAGAAGUGCACAGAUACAUUAGAUACCAAGCUGAGAAUCUGCAGGAGUCCACCAAGAUGAUUCUGGGACCACAUGUGAUGCACCCCUCCAAUCUACCUUCUUGGACUAAUGUGGCGCAGUUAGUUGAUUGUUUUAAGGAAGUUUACAGUUUCCAGAGCUCCUACUCAGAAGACAAGAUCUCAUGGUUUGAUUUCCUGAGAAAUUUCUUGACCCAUCCUAAUAAAACAAAGCCUCCCACCUUCACAAUAGAAGAGGUAGAUUUAGCAUUUGCUUAUCAUUUUGAUGAAGCGCUUCCUAGGUUCUUAUGUGAUCUUGUGAUGGGCCAUACCUUUAUCAGCUCACAUACAGUUGAGAGUGUAUUCAGUAGAGACUGGUUCAACACGAAAGUAUUUGUGGUUGAUGCGGAGAUCGCAAGCACCAGCGGUAUCUAG